AGUUCCGGGCCCGGGCUGCCUCCUUACGCAGAACCUCCCCCGAUCCUGCGUGUCCCGUGCUCCUCUCCGAGACCCCGGUCGCCCCAGCGUCCGCAGCAGUCCUGGAAAAAUGUUUAUUUGUGUAGCAAAGCAGGGAGCGGGGCGGCGGGGCUACUUCUUCUUUUUCUUGGCCGCCUUGAGCUUCCCCUCGAUUAGCCGCUGCGCCUGCCUCUUGAUCUCGGCGCGCGAAGGGACGUAGCUGUGGUCCAUGUCGGGGAACUGGAAGGUGUCUGCGGGCGGAGGCGGCGGCUCGCACACGGGGCUAGCCCAGCUAGGCGCAGCCGCCCGACCCGCCUCUCGCCCCCGCCCUCCACCGACCCGGGCCAGGUGCCUUGCCCCAGGGACAGCCCCAGCGUGCCGGGAGGACUCAGCCCAGCCCAUUCGCAGCGGCUCACGCUGCCCUGCCUAGCCUUUCCCGCAGAACCCCCAGUGGAAGCUCCGGCCCAGGCCUUCACCGCGCUCCUCCCUGCUCCAGCCCUGGUGCCUCUCCUCCGGGCCCGUCUGGCAUGGCAUGCCUCCUCCUUUCGGAGAAAUUAACAAGGUAUUUCAGUGGCUUUAGCCUCCCCAUGGCAUCACUAAGUCACCUCCAUCAAUUAAAGUCCUGCAGGUACAACUGAUGCACCCUGUAGCCCCGCUGUCCCUCCAGGAUGUCCCGGUGGGAUGGGAGCCGGCGCCACCCCGACCUGUGUUCCAGCCACCCGCCUGCAGCCCGGGCCCCAGUUCCGGGGCCUGUACCGAUCAUAUCCUCCUCCCGGUUCUCAAAGCUGAUCCUGGUGUUGUACUUCUCCAUCAGAGUCGAGGACUCCAGGGUGUCCCUCACCUUUGUGUCGCCCUGCAGGGCAAAGCCCCCUUCAGCCGUGCAGACACUCUGAACGGGAGCCUGUCAGCUUUGAGGGGACGUGGGCUGUGCAGGUUCCUCCCAGCCCGGGGCUACCUCCUCGGUCCUGGACACCAUCUGCACUCUGUCAGCCAGCAUGUCUGUCAUUUUCUUCUCAACGGACUUGAAGCUGCAGAAGGCAAUAGGGACACAGCAGUGAGGGGCACAGGCCCGAGAGCCAUGGUGGGCCACCCAGGAGCCCAGUCCUGAGUUGGGUGCUGUGCCAGAAUCAGGGACUCAGAAGCUCAGCUCCAGCUGCUUCACCAGGGCCUUCAGCUGCACCCGCCACUCCUCACAGUCCUCCAUCUGCAGCUCCAGGUUCUCCUCCGUGUUCCUCUGGGCCAGGAAGCGGCUAGUGAUGUCCUGGCCAGUCCGGGGGAGAGAGAAGCAGAGUGCCUCAGACCCCAGCCCAGCUCAGCCACCCUCCUGCCAUGCUCCGGGAGUGCCAGGGAGCAUUACCCAGACGUGAGAGGCUCAGCCACCCUCCUGCCAUUCUCUGGGAGCGCCAGGGGCAUUACCCAGACGUGAGAGCACCGUACAGCACUCUUGACCUUCUCCACCACAGCAGUCACGCCCGACUGGUAUUCCAUUUCUGCUGUGGAGGUCUCUUUUCUCCUCACUGGCAGAGCAGAGGGGAGGGGCAGUCAGCAUGCAGGGAUGGCUCAGGGGCUCUGUGUAAGGCUGUCAGACACCUCUGUACCUGCCCAGCUGCUGGGGCGGCCACCCAAGACACAGGCAUCCUUCAGAGAUGCCUGCCCCCGCCCCAACCUGCUCCCUCCUCAGCCCAGCCCUGCAGGGACGCCCCAGGCAGCCCCAGAGCAGAGGUGGACCCGGAGUGAGUGGCGCAGCACUGUGAGCACUGUGGGCCCGGUGGUGCUUCUCAGAGGCAGCUUAGGGGUCAGGAUGCUCAUCCUCUGCAGAGUCACUGGGGACUGGGCCCUUGGUGCAGGGCCCUUGGGUGCUGGGGCCAGCAUCUCUGAGGCCACAUUUGGCUACAGGCUCUCAGCCUCUGGAGGGAGAGGCAGGGACCUGUCCUUCCCUUCACCCUGGCGACCACAUGUCACACCUGGCCUCAGGGUGACUUGAUCCGUUGGCCUGAAUCAGUGCCAGCCUCUCCUUGGGACCCUGGCUGGGGGCAGGUGGGGAGCUGAGCGCUUACAUUUCAGGGUCUCCGUGCUCAUCAGGUUCGAGGGGAAGUCCAAGUCCAUCUGGCCCUGAUGGGAGGUGGGGGCGGGGAAGGGAUGAGACAUCCUUGGCAGGGAGUGGGCCCUGAGUGGUGGCCCUGAGCCUGUGUCCACCCAGCUGUCAUGGGGAUGGGCAGCCAGCCAGGCCCUGGCCUGGGGCUUACCCGGCGGUACUUCUCGCUGGUCUCCUUCGUGUGGAUCUUGUCGAUCAGCUUCUUCUGCUGGUUGAGCCGGUUCUCCCUUGCCCGGCGCUCCUCGAUGAAGGACGCCUCCCUUUGCCUCAUGUUCCUCUGGGGACAUGCGGGUGGGCACAGGGUUGGGGAGCUGUCUCAACAAGGCCCCUAAUGGCAGUAAAGCCAGCGGGCGGUUGGCCAUGCUCACCUUACUAGACUUUGGAACUGCAUCCCCGGCCAAUGGCCACACCCUUUUCCUAAACCACUUGUGCCCGUGGCCCCUCAGCUCACGGCCCUCCUUGCCCAUGCCUCAGAGCAUGUGCCAGCCCAGACGCUCUGCUGCCCUCCAGCCGCUGGCCCCCAGCUGCCUCCUGGCCAGGUCCACCUAGAACUCACGGAAGUGCAUUCAGCCUGCCUGAAGACAGAUUCAUCCUCUUCCCCAAAACCUGGCCUCUUCCAGCGUGCCCUUGGGCAGCUAAAACCGUCAUCUGCUAACCCCUGCUCACGCACCCCAGACACUGCUCUCACCCUCGCCACUCUCGUUGCCAGCGCUUAGUGGGGUUGCCUCUUGAGGAGUUCUCAGCUCCGUUGCUCCUGGCCACCCCUUCUCCACCCCGGGUAUACCCAGGUGAUCAGCGCUUCUGCCCUGGCACCUUCCAGUCCCUGCAGCCUGAGUACACCCUUUCUGAAGCACAGACCUGGUCACAUCUUUCCUCCACCUCCUCCCAGGGCUCCAGGUCAGUCCUUGGGCCCCCAGCCCAGCCGCCUCCGUGGACUCCUGGGGCCUGUGCCUCUGCAGCCUCCACUGCCCUGGCCACACGCUGCUCCAUGUAUCACACCCCUCCCAGCCCAGGGCCUUUUCCCAAGUUGUACCUCCUCCUCCCUAGCCCUGGCCACACCUGACCUUUGCGGGUUCAAUCCCUCAGCCCAGCUCAAGCACUGUCUUCCUGGAAAGCCAUCUGCCACCCCACCUGUCUCUGCUGAGCUGGCUCAGGGGCUGUGUGGCAUUUCUUCAUGGACUACUGGAUGAGUGCCACCCACUUCAGGAGGACAGGGUCUGCCUGUCCCGGUCCCUGCUGUAUCCCCAGAGCCUUGCAGGGACCUUGGCACAGACUGGGUGAAUAGGUGACCCCCGCCCUGGCCCGGCCAGUUCUCUCCCUCUCCUCUACUUCAUGGCUCCUGUGCUGGAUGGGACCUGCUCUGUCCAGUGGGUGAGCAGAGCAGGCUGGCCGGGCUGGCCACUGGAUCCUUCUGGGGAUUGUAGGCAGUGUGGGCAUGGGGGUCUCCUGAGAGACCCUGGCCAGAAGACACAAGAGAGCCCGCCCUGGGGGGCCCCAGCCCUGGGCCCUGAGCUCACCUUGACCCCAUCCGAAGAUCCAAGAGGGCUGGCCCUGGGGGGCCCCCAGCCCUGGGCCCUGAGCUCACCUUGACCCCAUCCGAAGAUCCAAGAGGGCUGGCCCUGGGGGGCCCCAGCCCUGGGCCCUGAGCUCACCUUGACCCCAUCCGAAGAUCCAAGAGGGCUGGCCCUGGGGGGCCCCCGGCCCUGGGCCCUGAGCUCACCUUGACCCCAUCCGAAGAUCCAAGAGGGCUGGCCCUGGGGGGCCCCCAGCCCUGGGCCCUGAGCUCACCUUGACCCCAUCCGAAGAUCCAAGAGGGCUGGCCCUGGGGGGCCCCCGGCCCUGGGCCCUGAGCUCACCUUGACCCCAUCCGAAGAUCCAAGAGGGCUGGCCCUGGGGGGCCCCCAGCCCUGGGCCCUGAGCUCACCUUGACCCCAUCCGAAGAUCCAAGAGGGCUGGCCCUGGGGGGCCCCCAGCCCUGGGCCCUGAGCUCACCUUGACCUCAUCCGUGAUCAUCAUGGCAUCUUGGGACAUGAUCUUCAUAUCCGACAGCUCUGAGCAGUAGUUGACCACGAGGUUCUGCAGCUUGUCCAGCUCAAUGGGGUAUCCUGCCAGCACCUGUGUUGAAUGGGGUUCUCUUGUGGCCCCUACAGAGUGGGCUGCAGUUGCCCCGAGCUUUUAUCCCCCGACUAAGAGCCCUGAGAACAGUGAUAGGUUCUCCUCUGUGGCCCCAGCCACCUCCCCCACUCCCCGCUGGGCACAACGGUGAUGAAAGGUGUUUCACAGGGAGUGGACAGUGCUGGCCUGGUGGACUCUUUCACCACCUAGGGUCCAACAACCCAGAGAGACUGAGAGAGUUUGUGAUGAAAUGCUCUGCAGAAAAGGCUGACUGAAACCCGGGGAGGUUUGGGGACAGUUCUGCUUUGAAGUGAAACAGAGGGGCUCAAGACAUGGGCUUGGGGUCAGAGAGUCAGGAUUCAAGGCCAAGGCAGCUUCUGACCAGCUAGUUUAGCUGUGUGACAUUGGGAAAGUUACUUAAUCUCUCUGUGUCCCCAUUUGUAAGAUGAUGGCUCGUUCAGAAGGUUGCCAUCAGGAUGAAUUGAGUGUAAAAGGAAUUAUUUAGCCCAGAACCAGGUACAUACGUGCUCAGGAUAGCUUUGCUAUAGUGGUUUGUUUUUUGUAACUACAAGUAUAGGCCAGGUGCGGUGGCUCACGCCUGUAAUCCCAACACUGGGAGGCCGGAGGCAGGCAGAUCAUGAGGUCAGGAGUUAGAGACCAGCCUGGCCAACAUAGUGAAACCCUGUCUCUACUAAAAAUACAAAAAAAAUCAGCCGGGCGUGGUAGUGGGCGCCUGUAAUUCUAGCUAUUCGGGAGGCUGAGGCAGGAGAAUCGCUUGAACCCGGGAGGCGGAGGUUGCAGUGAGCCGAGAUCUCACCACUGCACACCAGCUGGGGCAACAGUGUGAAACUCCAUCUCAAAAAACAAAACAAACAAAAACAAAACUAGAAGUGUAGAAUCUUCAUUUUUAAAAAUAUGGAUGACUAUGGGAAUUAUUGCUUGUUUUUUCCUUUGUUCUGAGACUGAAUCUCACUCUAUCACCCAGGCUGGAGUGCGAUGGUACGAUCUCGGCUUGCAGCAACCUCUGCCUUCUGGGUUCAGGUGAUUCUCGUGCCUCAGCCUCCCGAGUAGCUGGGAUUACAGGCAUGCACCACCAUGCCAGGCUACUUUUUGUAUUUUUAGUAGAGAUGAAGUUUCACCAUGUUGGCCAGGCUGGUCUAGAACUCCUGACCUCAAGUGAUCCGCCUGCCUUGGCCUCCCAAAGUGCUGGGAUUACAGGCAUGAGCCACCAUGCCCAGGCCGGGAAUAAUUGUUUUUUAAGUGUGUAUGUUCUAAACAGAAGAAGGCGCUACCAGAGGAACAGAAAGCACCCAGGCGAAGGAGGGGCAUGGACAGGGGUGGGGAGAGGGGUGGGCCCAGGAAGCAUAGAGGGGCAGGGCUUCCAGGUGAGCCAAUAGGACCAGGGGCCAAGGCAAGAGGGACAAGCAGAGGACGGUGCUGAGAGCCACCUGGGCUGGGACCACAGCAGGAAAAGAGCUGCGAUGCAGCCUCCGUCCACCACUCCUCCUAAACUGCACUUCCAUGCUGUCACCUUCCCGAAGCAUGGCUCUCCAGAGCUCCCCUUUGCCCAGUCUUAGGGUGAGGGUGUUUCCAGCUGGCUCCCCGCCCCAUCCACAGGUUGCUCCUCUUAGCACCUCCUGUGCUCUCCCUAUCUACAGCCCAUCUGGAGUAGGUUCUGCUUUGUGGCAGCCCGAGGGGCGGUGCUCAGCCUCCCAUGAAGGGGGUCUUCCCUCACAAUCGGACUGCUGGCUGCCUUUGGCCUCGUCUGCAGGGAGCAGGGCGGGUGGGCUGGCUGGGACGGCAGCAAGCCCUGCUUACAGGCCCAGCGGACCCUCAAAGGUGCAAGGACUUUCUGAGGGUGCAGGACCUGUCUGACUCUCAGAGGCCCAGGCAAUGAGAAAAUGACAGGCAAGAUACAAACAAUACCAAAUCAUUUAAUACGUGCAAGAAAGUCCGAAGAAUUCUGAUAUACCCCACGAUAUGCUUUUUUGGAAUAGCCAAAAAUGAAGUUUAAAAAAACGUUUUCCACAUGCCUCGGCGUCCUGCGUAGCCGGUGGUCAGGCAGAGCUCCCUCUCCCUGGCGGGUGCGGGGCGGCUCCGCCCCAGGACGCUCCCGCCCCUCCCAGAUCCCAGCCCCUGACCCCCGCCCUUCCCGGGCCGCUGGGCUCACUGUCUUCAGAUAAUCCAGCAGGUCCAAAUACAGCAGGUGGAUGUUCUGGCUGGUGAUGAUCUUGAUCAUUGUCUUCUCGAUGUUGUUCUCCAGCUGGCGGAUGAUCUGGGGCGGACCGAGGGCGCAGUGAGAGGGCGUGGGGACCGGCCGCCCGGAGGGUGUCGGGGCUGGGUUUUCUCCGGAGAGGGUCGUGCUCUCUUAGCCCCGCCCCUCCCGUGAGCCCUCCCCAGGGGACCCGCAAGUCCCGCCCCCCGGUGGCCCCGCCCCUCCCGUGAGUCUUGCCCCAGUGGACUCCGCCCCGCCCUCCCAGCCCCGCCUCUCCACCUGCAGCAGCCGCAGCUCCUCCUUGCUGGCGUCGGGCUGGCUCCGCAGGCUGUCCAGCUCCAGCUGCAUGCUCUCCAGCUUCUGCCCGCGCCGCCGCACCAGGUGGAUCAGCCUUGGAGAUGGUCCACUGGUCAUACUGCGGAGCGGCGGCGGCUGAGCUAGAGCGGGCCCUUUGCGCACCC
rnacentral:lncRNA from 1 species